UAGUCAUAUGCUCAGCUCAAAGACUAAGCCAUGCAUGUCUAAGUAUAAGGGCAUUGUCCCGAAACUGCGAACGGCUCAUUACAACGGUCGUAAUUCAAAUGGCCCUAUCCAAUCCUAGUCGGAUAACACUGGGAAUCUAGUGCUAAUACGUGCACCAAAUGGUGGUCGGCCUUUAUUGUGCUGGCUAUCAGGCGCCUAUCGGCAUCUUCUUUGCGGGGGAUGUGUAGUACGAAAUUGACCAGCGUGGUAAGUGAUGGAUUAACCUCUAUUGCUUAUCAUUAUCAUGGUGAAACAAGGUAGGACGUAGACCGCUGAAAAGUGGUAGGCCAUACAAACGACCGCCCCAUCAUACUUUCAACCGUAGUAUAGGGGACUACGGUGGUGUUAACGGGUAACGGAGAAUAUGGGUUCGACUCCGGAGAAUGAACAUGAGAUAUGUUUCAUACUUCUAAGGAAGGCAGCAGGCGCGCAAACUACCCAAUCGACAACGUCGGAGGUGGUGACGAGCAGUACUGGAUGCUUGAUUUUUAAAUUCGGGCAUUCAGAAUGAACGAUGCACAGAUACUACGCUGAAUGCAAGAAGAGGGCAAGUCUGGUGCCAGCAGCCGCGGUAAUUCCAGCUCUUCGAGCAUAUAUUAAAGUUGUUGCGUUUAAAACGCCCGUAGUUGAGAUUCUAAUUAUGUGAGGAGAGGUGUGUGUAAGUGUGUAAGUGUAUGGAGGUGAAGAUGGAGAUGGUUGUGUGAGUGAGAGUAAAAGGAAUGGAUGGAAUGGAUGAAAGAGAGAGAAGGAGGAAAGGAAGAAGUGAAGAGAGAGGGAAGGGGGUUUGAUGAAGGAAGGAGGGAAGUGAGAGAAGUAAGAGAGAGGGAGAGAGAGAGUGAGAGAGUGAGAGAGUUACGAACAAAGGAGUAACAAUGGAUGCAGAUUGUUGGGAAGUAAGUCCAGUAUAAGUGAUAUGGUCAGAUGCACGUAUCAACUGGACGAACGCUCUAACAAGUCGUUGAUACUUCCGACUCUCAGAAGAAGCGUAAGAUUGAAUUGCAUAUACAUGAUGGGCAUGUGUAUGAUGGAGUCGUCAUUCAUAUAUGUACGAUGGUAUACAGUACAAUAUGAUAUGGUGGUGGUUGUGGUUGUGGUGUAGCCAUGCACAGUUAGGUGUGUGGUUAUGUUACAAUCGUAAUCAUUAUCAUUAUCUAAUUGUGUAUCUUCGCAUGUAUGUGGGUGGCGAUGAAAUUAUGUAUGCUAUUCAAUCUUACACUCCUUCUGGGAGUCUGGGGAAUUGGCGACUUGUUAAAAGCGUUCGUCCAGUUGGUACGUGCAUCUGUUCAUCUUGCUUAUAUUGUAUGAGCUUCCCAACAGUUUGUUGAAUCUGUUACUUCUUUCUUUAUAACUCUCUUUCUCUCAUUCUCUUUCUCUCUCUCUCUUACUUCUCUUCCUUUUCUCUUUUUGAAGUCUUUCACCCUUUCUCUUCAUGGAUUUCUUAAAUCUUUUGAUCUUGAUCAUACAUACAUUCAUUUCUUCUCAUGAUCAUAAUCAUAAUCAUAAUCAUCUUUAUAUAAAUACAUAUACAUAUACAUAUACAUAUACAUAUAUCUCUCUCUCUCAUGAUUGAAUUUAGUUACCAUAAAGAAAUUGGAGUGUCUCAAGCAGGUCUUGCCUUAACGGGCGUUGGCCCCUGUACAUUGCAGUAUGGAAUAACAGAUUAGACCUAUGUCUGUCUGCUGGUCAAGUCCUCAUCAUAGGGAUCGGUGGAUUUAUUCUAAUAUGUGAUGUUAGUGUUCUCAUAUUGAGUAUUUAUUGAUAACUUAUGAUUUAACAAGUUGUUUCAGUAUUUCGGUAUUGAGAUGAUGGAAUUGAAUUGUAUGGAGUAGGUAAGUAUUCAAUAUGAGGUCCAACAUUAACAUUGUGUAUUAGUGUAUCUAUUGAUAACUGGUUGAGGAACAGAUGUGGCGUGAUGGUAAAUAGGGGCGGUAUCGGGGGCAUAAGUAUUGGGCCGGGAGAGGUAAAAUUCUAUGAUCGGCCCACGACUAACUGAGGCGAAAGCGCUUGCCAAGGACGCUUUCAUUGAUCAAGGACGAUAGCUGGGGGAGAGAAGGAGAUCAGACACCUCUGUAUUCCCAAGCUGUAAACGAUGCCGACUAGGUAUGGGGAGUAGUUCUUAAUUGAUAUUCUCCGUGCCCCACGAGAAAUCUGUAAGUAUUCAGGUUACGGGGGGAGUAUGGUCGCAAGGCUGAAACUUAAAGGAAUUGACGGAAGGGCACCACAAUUGGCGUGGAGCCUGCGGCUUAAUUGGAUUCAACGCCGUUAAACUUACCGGGCCCUGACUCGCUCGGGAUUGACAGGACUACGUUCUUUCGUGAUUGCGAGAGUGGUGGUGCAUGGCCGUUCUUAGUUCGUGGUGUGAACUGUCUGCUUAAUUGCGAUAACGGACGAGACCUCCGCCUAGUGACUGUCUAGGUUAAUAGGAUACUUCUGUAUUCUGUUAAUCUGGAUGGUUUUAAUAGGAGAAAGGUGGUGAGUGUAUAUAUAUAUAUAUAUAUGUAUAUAUAUGGAUGGAUAGAAAUGGAAUGGAAUGGUGUAGAAAUGGAUGGAUGGACAAGGUGUGAUGGAAAUGGAUAUGCAUUAUGCAUUGGAGUAAUGUAUAUGCAUUUGGGUGGUUGGAGUGGAAUGGAGUUAAGGAGGCAGAUGUAUAUAACAGUAUGUUUGUCUUUUUGAUUUCAUUUACUUUGAUCUUUCAAAUGUGUAUAUGUGUUUGGAUACCAAUGUUAUAUAUUCAUAUUCAUGUUCAUUAUAUUAUGGUCCAUUCAUUUCAUUCCAUUUCAUAUUUAUUCAUUCAUGUAUAUAUAUAUAUAUACAUAUAUAUACAUUCUCCAUAUACCAAACUUUCUCCUUCACAGGGACUAUUGCUUAUAAAGCGCCGGAAGCGCGAGGCAAUAACAGGUCAGUGAUGCCCUUAGAUGCCUUCUAUCGGGCUGCACGCGUGCUACAAUGGCGGGAGCAGUAUGUGGAUGCCAAACCAGAAAUGGUACGGCAACCCUGGUAGGCCCCGUCGUGGUUGGGAUCGUCCCUUGCAAUUGUUGGUCGUGAACUAGGAAUGCCUCGUAAGCGUGUGUUAGUGAUCGCACGCUGAAUGCGUCCCUGCCCUUUGUACACACCGCCCGUCGCUCCUACCGAUUGGAUGUUGCGGCAAGUUGUCCGGAGGACACACUUCUGUGUGGACCGAAGUUCCGCGAGCCCUAGCAUCUAGAGGAAGGAGAAGUCGUAACAAGGUUUCU
rnacentral:rRNA from 1 species